rnacentral:lncRNA from 1 species
AUCAGGGUUGACAGUUUAACCCUGAGUCGUCCUAAAUACAGGGGUCAAAAGGAUGAAUUAUACAGUAACCAUAUUAAUGUAGGUUCUGAGUGUUGCGAUUGUGACUAUUCGACCUAUCCGGAUGUCGGGUACCAUUGCUAGAUGGUCACUUCGAUUAGUACAGGAAUUGGUUCCUGUGCUACCGGCUUAGGUUCGAACCUAUGGGGUCACACACAUUAGAGGUUCUUAUCCGAUCUGAUGGCUGGUGUAGAAUCCUUCAUGUUUGGGACUCAGUGAUCGAGAAUCAGGAUUCUCUAAUCAUGAGUUUCACACAUUAUGGGUACCGGGGUCAAGAGUCCCACUGGUUGGG